UCCGUAGGCGGUGCGGCAAGUCGGAAGUGAAAUCUCUGGGCUUAACCCAGAGGCUGCUUCCGAAACUGCCGUGCUAGAGUGCGAGAGAGGCGAGUGGAAUUGCGGGUGUAGCGGUGAAAUGCGUAGAUAUCCGCAGGAACAUCCGAGGCGAAAGCGGCUCGCUGGAUCGCAACUGACGCUGAGGGACGAAAGCUAGGGGAGCAAACAGGAUUAGAUACCCUGGUAGUCCUAGCCCUAAACCAUCAGGACUUGGGGUUUGCCCUGUACGGGGCAAGUCCCGUAGCUAACGCGUUAAGCCCUGCGCCUGGGGAGUACGGUCGCAAGGCUGAA
rnacentral:rRNA from 1 species